CCUACGGGUGGCAGCAGUGAGGAAUAUUGGUCAAUGGGCGAGAGCCUGAACCAGCCAAGUCGCGUGAGGGAAGACGGUCCUAUGGAUUGUAAACCUCUUUUGUCGGGGAGCAAAAAGGCCUCGUUAGGCCACAAGUGAGAGUACCCGAAGCAAAAGCAUCGGCUAACUCCGUGCCAGCAGCCGCGGUAAUACGGAGGAUGCGAGCGUUAUUCGGAUUUAUUGGGUUUAAAGGGUGCGUAGGCGGACUGGAAAGUCAGCGGUAAAAUCGAGAGGCUCAACCUCUUUCCGCCGUUGAAACUGUCGGUCCUGAGUGGGCGAGAAGUAUGCGGAAUGCGUGGUGUAGCGGUGAAAUGCAUAGAUAUCACGCAGAAAUCCGAUUGGGAAGGCAGCUUAAUAAGCCAUAACUGACACUGAAGCACGAAAGCGUGGGGAUCAAACAGGAUUAGAUACCCGGGUAGUC
rnacentral:rRNA from 1 species